GUGGUUUUCUUUGUAGUGUAUAUGAAGUGUGAGACUUGCUACUGUUUAAACAUGUCUCCUAUAUUUUUUAGGUACAACUACUUAUUUUGAAACACAUCUUCAGAGUAAAAAAAGUAAAUAAAUCCAGAGAACAUACAAAUGUCUAAUCAUUCCCAAGAUAUUAAGGAGAAUUAUUAGAAUUAAGUUGAACAAAGCAGGAGAAACAGAAAGAAAUUCACCCUUGCAUUACUGAAGAUUGUGAAACAAUGGAGUCUUUUAUCUGCCAACUUCUACUGAGUUUGCUUAGCAGGAAGCAGUAGAUGAACCCCAAUACAUCAGAAUAGCUAUGUGCAGAAUGCUGCCAUCACAGCUGACAUCAGUCACAUCACUCAAACUUCUUGAGAAACUGGUUCAAUGGUGCUUGAGAGAAAGUAUAGAAAAAAUAUAACCAAAGGAAGAUUUUUAGGAAGCCAGAAAAGCUAAAAGGGGACAGAUCAUGUGUUUGCCUUUCCCUCAGACUCUGAGGGAGCACAAAGGUAAGGAAUGAAAAAGAAUAUUUAAGCAAAGCUCCAUGUGUAUGAGCACUAUAGUAGUAUGAGCAUGAUAGCGAUGGGUUGAUGGUUGCACUUGAUGAUCUCAGAAGUCUUUUCUAACCUAUGAUUCUAUGAUUCUAUGCCUUUGGUCAGCUUGCAAUGUAAAUGUUAACAUUAUGUUAUUGAAAUAAUGUAUUUUGCUCUAGGGAAUA
rnacentral:lncRNA from 1 species